rnacentral:misc_RNA from 1 species
ACAAACUUGGUCAUUUAGAGGAAGUAAAAGUCGUAACAAGGUUUCCGUAGGUGAACCUGCGGAAGGAUCAUUACCAAUAUUAGCGAACCUGACCUUUUGGGGUCAUGGUCUCGCGAAAACUUUGUAUUUAAAACCCCACUCUUAUUAAGAAAUGAAUCAUUUUUAUAUGUAAAUAAAGAUCACUUUCAACAACGGAUCUCUUGGCUCUUUUAGAGGAAGUAAAAGUCGUAACAAGGUUUCCGUAGGUGAACCUGCGGAAGGAUCAUUACCAAUAUUAGCGAACCUGACCUUUUGGGGUCAUGGUCUCGCGAAAACUUUGUAUUUAAAACCCCACUCUUAUUAAGAAAUGAAUCAUUUUUAUAUGUAAAUAAAGAUCACUUUCAACAACGGAUCUCUUGGCUCUUGCAUCAAUGAAGAACGCAGC